GGACGCGAGGGCCAUCUGGCUGGGACAGCGUUCUCCCGCGGAUGGCCAGGGGCGGGUCUGCUGACUGGGCGGCUGGGCGUGCGUGCCCUUCCCUGCUCCCAGCUCCGCGGGCGUCCCCCGGGAGCUGCGCGCUGGGGGAAGAGGAUGACCUUGCCCGCCAGAGAAGGGCAGUGCUUCUGUCAAGGGUUUAGAGUACCCGGGCUCCCCUGGUGGGAUGUCCAAACAAGGCCCAUUUGUAGGCAUAGCCAAGCCCCCAAGACUCCAGGCACAGAUGAGGGGCAGCAUGAUUUUUUUUUUUUAAUGGUUUCUGACAGGAAGUUUUUCCAUAAUUC
rnacentral:snRNA from 1 species